rnacentral:lncRNA from 1 species
CGAAAGUCAAUAAAAUUAAUAGAGUACGAGACAAGGAAGAUAAUUAGAUUGGGAUGACAAUAAAUUUGCGAAAAGUUGUAGAUAGUAAGCAACUUAUAUGUGGAGUGGUAUAUGUAUCAUGAAUUUAUUACACCGAAUGGAAAGGAUGUUUUGAGGUGGAAUUUUAUGUAUGAUGAUGAAAGUUUAAAGAUGACAUGAGUUAAAAGUAUUAAUUUGGCUUAGUGUGUAUGACAAGAAAAUAGAAGGUAUCUAUAUUUAUGGAACUCAUGAUAUAUGUCUGGAAGGGAAACCCACUAGUUGAGAAUGAUGGAUGUAAUGACUUUGAAUGAAGACAAAUAGCUUUGAUGAGGAAAUUUCUAGUAGUCACAGCACCGUAGCACUGACUGUCCAGCGCUGUAAUUGUCACGAGCCGGAACUCCCAUCGAGCCCGUGACAACCGCCACGACGUCCCGAUAGGCACUCAUUAUCCCGAAUGUCGAUCGAAACCCCGCAAGGCUUAGCAUCAGCUUUUACAUCUCCCCAGUGAGCGAUAGUUAUUAAAUCUCACAUUUCAAAAAAAAUCAUAAGUCAUUUUCAAAUCAAAACAAUAAAAUAUUACUUUCUGGCUCACAUGGGCAUUUUCAUCAUUUUUCUUCGAAAAUACCAAAACUCGCCAAAAACAUGGUGUAAAAGCUAAAUAUAUUCAUACAUAUUUUAAAUUAAAUAACUGAAGAAUAAAAUUACUUUUACAAUAACACGUGGGCCCCCAACUGACUAAGAAGAUGUAGGGCUACGAACCCUUACUUUCUAAGAUGCAACUCCGAGAUUAAUUUUCGUUUUAAUCAACUAUCAACAAAUUGUCCUGAGCCUGAAAAAUAUAUAGAAAGAAAGGGUGAGAUUAUAAAAUCCCAGUGAGUAGACAAACAUCAUCAAAAUAAUCUAAAACCGAGUAAUAGGAGACAAUUAAAAUAAUUCAUCCCAACCCAUAUAAAUAAUUGGAUUUCAUCCAAUUACUCAACAUGGCUUAUGCACUUUUCAAAAACUUGGCCCUUGCCAAAAAUUCAUUCUCGGGGAUACCCCGCGAAGGCAUAUUACCGAGACCGCCAAGGUUGUUUAUUGUCACACACACAAACACAUUUCACCUCUGACAACACAGUUGUUCCUCGACGUUGGCUGAGUCCCAGUUUCACGUGGUGGCCAGCGUGAAGUGUACUCAAAUCCUACAUCGGGAGUUAUUUUACGCGCCUCUCCAAUCGAGGUAAGCUCAAUAAUUGGGAACCGUGCCCCUCUAAUUAGGCUGGCCCACGAAACCCCCGUCACUGUAGUGCUCACAAAUCCUACCUCGGGAGUUAUUCUACGUGCCUCUCCAAUCGAGGUAAGCUCAAUAAUUGGGAACCGUGCCCCUCUAAUUAGGCUGGC